ensembl:rRNA 5S_rRNA 5S ribosomal RNA
GCCGGCAGCCAUAUCACCCUGCAACUCACAACUGGCAACUCAAUGAAGCUAAGUAGGUGUGAGCCUGGUCAGUUCCUGGAUGGGAGACCUCCUGGGAAAAACUAAGGUUGCUGCUGGAA